rnacentral:lncRNA from 1 species
CUGGUUUGAGCUACCAACAGUGUUUUUUCUCAUCUUGAGCUUCUCAUUAUCUUGGCCUUUUGUUCUAGGCAACGUGAAUAGAGCGUGUGCUCCCCACUUGGGCUUGUGGCGAAUUAUCUGCAACCUGUCGCCAGGCUACCAACGCGAGAUAAGGUUCUGGCCAGACAGGCCAUCGUUAGGUGCGAUAAGAAACCGCGUGCGUUCGAUUGUCGUCUUGCGUCGGAAGCGAACGGUAAGAGAGCUCUCUAGCGUGCGACCAAAAGGUACCUCGCGUCGUUUAUUCUAUUAAUAUAUUUUCUUUCAGCGUUUUGUUUGUAAUUGUAUGCUUCAUCAGUUUAUUGAAUAAAUUGUUCUCUUGCCCCGGCUUUUCUCUCAAUUCCGUGAGAGUUUUUAUGCCGAGGCAAGUAGCUUUGUGCCGUGUAAAA